CCAAUAACUGACAUAAUCCUGUUACGGGAUGCUAGUAAUUAAUUUUGUAUGGUAUAUUUUGGAGCAAAUAAAUACAUACCCACAGGAUAUUCCAUGUUGUGCGUACUAUUGGAGUAUCUUGAUUAAUUACCGGGAACCAUACCUAGGAAGCACUAAUGCAGGAAGUAAUUAAACGGCAAAGAUUGGUAAUGCUCCAAGGCGCCUCUAUAUAAACAGCAGCAGAAUGAUUCAGCUAAGCACCACAACCACGACCAAAAAAAUAUAGAAUAGAAGUAGGAACCAAGGAAAUAGUAAACAAGUUUGUUAUGGCUCCAAUCAACUCAAGGUUUUCGUGCUUGAUGAUGGCUCUUUUGCUGUUGUCAACCACUUGUUUGUCGAGUCAAGUAUCAGAGACAGAGAGGAGCAUAGGCGUGAAAGCCAACGCAUGCGCGGGCCGUGAACCUUACCAGUACGAUUGUACGCCUGGAGGCUGUGUUACUGCAUGUAAAAAACUGGGCUGCGGAACUGGGGUUUGCCAUUCAGAUGGUAGUUGCUAUUGCAGCUAGAUGAGGCUGCUCGAUCCGUCCUAGUUGUUGCUCUAAUUUGUAGCAAGGAAAAGACCGUGAACAAUAAGCUUAGGAAGUAAUGUUGAUUUUUUUUCAAUUCCUGGAAUAAUUUAAAUAGAGAUUAUUUAUUUUCCUGUGCUCUCCCUUAUCAUUUUUUUAAUGAAAAUGGCUGUCUUGUGGCUUCUCGUUUAAAAAUUCUA